rnacentral:tRNA from 1 species
GCCCGGAUGGCGAAACUGGUAGACGCAUCGGACUUAAAAUCCGCCGGGAGCAAUCCCUUGCCGGUUCGAUUCCGGCUCCGGGCA